CUGAGAUAAUUAAUACAAACUGAGAAGCUCUAGUUUGUUUAUCCUCCCCUCCUCUUCACUUAGAUUCCCAUCACCAUUUGGAAAAAAAGCCUCAACCUUUUUGGCUCUGGAAGAAACAAGUUUACAAGUUACAAUCUUUACACAAGGCUCAACCAAAUACGGCACUCCAAUUUUAGAGUUUUCCGUUUCCUGAUUUUCCGAAUUUGUUGGUUUCUCCAAGACACCAAAUUGGUGCGUCUACUUUUCCUCAAGAAAUACUGCACCUCCUUUGUGUCUAUAUUUCCUCAAGAAUAUUGCACCUCCUUUCUGUUUCGUGUUGAUUAGGAAGUGUGAGAGAGAGAGAGAUGGGCAUCUCUCUAUCCAGAAAUAUAGCAAGUUUCAUUUUCUCCUCUCCCCUCUUCUCCAAGAAAAAUGGUGGUAUUCCCAUUCCCAUGCAAUUAGAGAACAUGGUCUCCUUGGUUUCCCGGACCGGAAGGCAUUUGCAGCGCUACGAUAAAGGCUGCCGCCAAGUUGUAGGAUGCAUACCCUACAGAUAUAGGCAAACAAAACAAGAAUCUUUAUCUACGGAGGAAAUAGAAGUUCUUGUGAUUAGUUCACAAAAGGGUCAAGGAGUGUUGUUCCCAAAGGGAGGUUGGGAACUUGAUGAGUCUAUUGAAGAAGCGGCUUACAGAGAAACGCUAGAGGAGGCUGGUGUGACUGGCCAUCUUGAGCCUAAAUUGGGCAAAUGGCGUUACAAGAGCAAAAGCCAGGGCACUUUUCAUGAGGGGUACAUGUUCCCUUUGCUUGUCAACAAGCAGUUCGAGUCUUGGCCUGAGAAGACUGUCAGGAAACGAGAAUGGAUGACUCUUGUUGAAGCUAAAGAAGCAUGCCAAAAUUGGUGGAUGAAGGAAGCUUUGGAUGAAUUUGUUCGUCGACAAACGCAGCACCAAAAGAAAGAAGAACAAGAUGAGCCUGUUUGUACUUUGUACAUAACAGAGUGAGAGAGCCAUAAUUUGGUUUUUGUUCAAUUAUUUGGACGACCAAACGGAUGUAGGGGGAGAAGUAACUUUCCAAUACUCAUUAGAAAUGAGCUAGUUAAAAGAGAAAACUGAAGAGUUGUUUCCUUUACAGUUCUGUCGCUGUACAAUGUAGUCGAAGAUCUAGAAACAGAACGCCUGUUAGAUGUAUAUUUGGCUCCUGUUUCUUUCAUUGGAAGGGCUUGGCUUAGUUCAAAUUACAGGUUCUGGACCACAGAGACCAAGUGUGGCAUAAAGCUUGGUAUAUCUCAGAACGUGGGUGGAUAUGCUUCAUUUGAAGUGGAAGAUAGGAUUGCUUUUGUCAUCAUGAAAACCACUAAAGCAGAUUAAAAUUUUAAGGGUAUUUAAAAUGACACUGAUGGGCAAUAGACAUUAUUGGUGGGGUGGUUAAGUGCAAUAAUUGUUUUGAGACAUUAGAAGAACCAGAGAAAAGAUGAUGGUGAUCGAUUGUUAUUUAAUCUGUGACCCAUGUAGAAAUGAUGCUAUGUGCAUCCAUAGCGGUUGCAAUCAGUUUGCUGAAAAGUCUCCUUCAAUAUUUUUCUUUUAUCCGAUAUUCUGUUUUCUGGGAAAA